AACGAACGCUGGCGGCAUGCCUAACACAUGCAAGUCGAACGAGACCUUCGGGUCUAUUGCCUCACGGGUGCGUAACGCGUGGGAACCUGCCCUUAGGUUCGGAAUAACUCCACGAAGGGGGUGCUAUUACCGGAAAAUUUCUUCGGACCAAAGAUUUAUCGCCUUUGGAUGUGCCCGCGUUGGAUUACCUAGUUGGUAGGGUAAAAGCGUACCAAGGCGACGAUCCAUAGCUGUGCAGAGAGAAUCAGCAGCCACACUGGGACUGGGAUACGGCCGAGACUCCUACGGGAGGGGGGAGUGGGGAAUAUUGGAAAACGGGGUGAAUGCUGAACCACCAAUGCCGCGUGAGUGAUGAAGGCCGUAGGGUUGUAAAGCACGUUUACACGGGAGGAUAAUGACAGUACCCGCAGAAGAAGCUCCGGCUAACUCCGUG
rnacentral:rRNA from 1 species